GUAGUGGUGGUUCAGUGGUAGAACUUUUGCCUUCCACACAGGAGACCUGAGCUUGAUUUCCUGCCAGUGCA
rnacentral:tRNA from 1 species